rnacentral:lncRNA from 1 species
CACACGGUGAGAAUCUUCAUAGUAGAGCUCAUCCCAAAAAUUGUGUUCCCACCUAAGAUGACUGUAUUCUAUAAAUGACUUCUUUCAAUUUUGCAGCAAUCUCAAUUAAUGGAGCUUCAAUAACAGGGAUAAUUAAAAGUUCAAAAGACAUAUACAAGGAGGGAAAUAAAAGACUGGAAGCAGCCUGCACAUCAAAAUCCUCCUGGAACUAAGGAGAAACAAGUGGUUUGUACUUAAUGCAGAGAAUGUACCUACACAAUAGCUCCCGGAUUCCUCCUCUCCAUCUCCACUCCAACCUCUCUACUCCAAACCACCGUCAUCUCUCACCUGGACCAAUGUUCUAAUGUUCCCUAAAUGUUCUUCCCAGGUCUCCUCUGGUCCCUUCCAUGUUUCCUCCCUCAGGAAAGAAAGAGGGCUCUUAGAGAAUUGGCUGCUGAAAAACCUAUGGAGGGUUUUGUUUUUGUUUUUGUUCUUCCUGUUUAAGAAAAAAUACAAAAACUGCAAUGGGCCCAUCAUGCGCUGGAAGACCAGCCUCACCUACCCCUGGCUGCUCCUCCUCCUCAGUGCCCUUCAGCCAUGGAGUACUGCAUGCUAGUCUGCUCUCCAUUCCCAGAAGGCCUCAGAUGCACUCCAGCCUCAGGUCACUGUCACUCAACAGGCACUUGGAGAAUUGACUUUUGCUAAAAGCAGUGACUCUACCCAGGCGUGCAGGUGCCCAGUGGGUAACUACAAACAGGACAAAGCUUGGCAUCUCUGCCUUCAUGAUGUGUCUGUCCCCCUUAUUUCCUUAAACUUUGUGACCAGCUCAGCUCUGCACGUGAAUCAUUGAAGGAGCAUGCAUCUAAAAACUGGUGAUUCGAGGUUUAUUAGCCCUAAAUGCACCUAACCUGCCUUGUUCCCCUUCAAGACCGAGGCAAGAUUUGCAGGGUCGUUUACAACACCCUGUUUCUGACCCCUGGAGCUGUGCCUACAAGCCUCCAGUCAUUCAUUGCCCUGUGUCUUGCCUUCCAGGGACAGCAGAGCUUUGCAGGAACCUCACCCCGUUAUGAGAAUGCCCCCCCCCCCGAAGCAGCAGCAAUUGUUUCAUGGGAGAUCACAUAAAAUAUUCCUUGAAGCAAAUGGAGAUUGCCCCCUCAAGUGAUAAGAAGUUCUCCAGAGCCACCUCCUAGUACCAGAACGAAAUGAUCAAGUAAACCACAGUGUGAUCAAAAUUGCUUAACUAUGCAUGCCUGCCAGCUCCUGCCCCAAUUCUUCCUCUAGUUAAAACUAAAGCUCACCAGGUGCAGCCCACACACCUGUAAUCCCAAUGACUCAGGAGGCUGAGGAAGGAGGAUCACAAGUUCAAGAGCAGCCUGGGUAACUUGACAGGAUUCUAAGCAACUUAGCAAGACCCUAUCUCAAAAACUAAAAAGGGCUGGGCUGUAGCUCAGUGGUAAGCACCCCUGGUUUCAUCCCCAGUCCCAAAAGUAAACAAAUAAAUAAACCUAAAGCUCAUGUCGGCAUCCAGAAGACAGGGCUCAGAUGCUUGACCCUACUUGCCUUCCUGAUAUGGUCAUAUUGACUACAAAGUUCCUUUCCUGCUUUUCACUAUGGCCUCUUCUGUUUUGUUUUUUGGGGGAAAUUUAUAAACCUGAUUUGUUGAAACUCCCAGAGUCAGGCCUCUGGCACAGGAUUUUGGUAGCGUCCCCAUGGAGCUGAGGGUAUACUGGUGGAGCCAGACAUGAAUCAAUCAUGGCACAUAAGCACAGAGAAAACUGGCACUAUUGAUACAAGGGAGAGGGGGGUCACAGCUCCCUGAGAACCUGCCUCAAGGGAUUUUUUUUUUCUUGGCAGAGCCAGGGAUCAAACCCAGGGCCUUGUAUAUGCUAGGCAAGUGCUUCACCACUAAGCUACAUCCCCAACCCUUACACCAAAACUCCUGAGACAGAGGCUUCUGUGAAAUAAUAGUACUUACUGGAUGCUUAGGCAGAAAGGGACCAGGUCCUGGGACAAGUUCCUCAACUACCAGCAACAAACAGAGAGUAAUUACAGUGUGGCCACCAGGUCUAAGCCAAGAACAUUUUUAGAAUGUAAACAUGGAAGAAGAAAUGCAUAAAUGAGUUACCUUUUUGAACUGAAGUUCUCUGAAGAAGCUGCAUCUGUAUUAAAGAUCCUGCAGACUGCCUGAGCUUGGCCAACAAGAACUUUGGGAUUCUGGAGAGAUGGACUAUUGCGGGUCGGGAAGCAAAAUUAUCUUCUUGGACUGUCUUAGGCCCUUUCACCUGCCUUGUGUAUCUCACCUUACUUUCUGGUUACUAAUAAAUAAGAUUCUCAGAAUAUAUCACCGAGCUUCUUGGACUUCUGGUCUCCACCAGCCUUAAAGCUAAGAACAAUUUAAGAGAGCAUCUAGAACCUUAUAGAAAAGAUUUUCCCAUCCUGCUCUGGACAGCCUACCUGAUGCACCCAACAGUGCAAUUGGCAAAUGUAUGGAUUUAUGACUUUCUUUUGUUCUGUGCCUAUAAAAGUUCAUGUAAUCUCUUCCCCAUGGUUGAAAAUGUCAUCUUAGGGUAAAUUGAAUCCAUGUUCCCUGGCCAUGGUCACUCAGAUUUGUCUCUGAAUAAAGUAUGUUCUUAUUUAUUUAUUA